AAAACAUAAGAAUGGAGCCAAAUGAUUCUCAAGCACAGGAAAAGUAACAGCUGAAAGGGUUUUGUUUAUGAAGAACGAGUAUCUCGAAGCUGGAUAACAAGGAAUGUGAUUCACAAAUGAGAACUACAGCAGCAGAAAACCACAAAGGAAGUUAAAGUUGUAUGGCUGUAGUCAAUCCAGCCUUUUUUCUUUUGGGACUUGUACAGAAAUACAUCCAUGCUGCAGACUUUUUGUAGGGUCUGAGCCUAGCAAGGACUUGGGAUUGGUAUGAAGAAAAGUCAGAAGUCCAGUUGUUACACUGGCUUUAAAACAAAAUGAUGGAAGUAUUACAUUUACAUUUUCUGACAGACAUCUUUGAUUUAUACUUUCCUACUGAUAUUCUAUAGAAUGAGUACAGGGACACUUUAUUUGCAAAGAGCUGACUUUCUUA
rnacentral:lncRNA from 1 species